UUUAAACUGAUCAUCAGUCUGUGUGGUUAUAAUCUAUGUGGGCCAACCUGCCGUAUGUAAUAAAAGUGCUAAUUAGCUGCCAAAUUGUAGCAUUUAGAGACACAUUUUUCGUAAUUUGGAUAGCUAAAUGUCAAAAGGAGUAAUACUGACAAAUAUUUACUCAAAUUAAGAUUUAUAAUAAAACAACGACCGGACAUUUAUUUUGUAUGUGGGAAAUUAAACACGUGAAAGGAUAGAAAUCCAAAAACAAGUCAUGCAAACCCAAAAGACGACACGUGGAUUUUCGGUUCGAGCGUUUUCAGAAGGUCUAAAGAGAAGGCUGUCUCCAAAGGGAAAGGAACAACAACAACCGAAAGGAAUACUUCGGAACAACUCUACUGAAUCUAUAACAUGCGUCCACUGUGAUCAAAACAAUAACAAUAGAUCUUACACAGGGACAGAUACUCUUCGGAGCAGGAUUGGAAAUAUACCGGGUUGUCAGAUGUGUGCAGCAAUGAAUACAGAUAAUUUUGCUAAAAAGAGCGUUAGAUUUAGCACCGUUGUACGGGAGAGGAACUACAUAAGAUCGGAUGAGGAAAAUCCCACAAACAGGAAGUACAGAAAAAUUUCGUCGGACUAUAAUAGUGCAAAAACCACAAAACCUUGCUUUCAAGCAGCAAUGUUUGCAUGUAGUAUAUGUCAUAUAACAAUGAAAACUGAGAGUGAAUUUAUUGCACACCAAAGAAAACAUGGAAUGAAUAACACACAAGUUUUCCAAUAUCAGAUGCCACACCAGUACCAGGAUUAUAGACCAAUAUCGCCACACAUGUUUGUUCGACAGUAGGCCAAUUUCGCCAUAUAUGUUCGACAGUAAUGCACUAUUUGUGAUUUUUGAAAAUCUAGUCGUUAUAAAAAAAUUCAUGUUCAAAGUAGAAUGUAUAAAUAGCUGAAAGAAAACAGCAGGGUUUAGUUUGAAAUUAAUGAAAGUAAACUGUGAUUGUCGUCAAAACUAUGCAACUAUGUCGUGUUAUGCACCUUUAGCAUCGUGCAUAACUUUUAAAAAUAAAUCAUUUUAUCAAAUUUUUAAAGUGACGUUUAUGCAGGUAAAAAAGAAGACAGCAUGACUAUCGAGACAUCUGCGUUCUUCAAAGAUUAUCUAUUUUAAAAGUAUCACAAAUUUUAAUGCAUAUUUUAUAUACCAAUGUAUUAAAUAUUAAAAUAACGA